rnacentral:rRNA from 1 species
UACGUAGGGGGGCGAGCGUUUGUCCGGAUUUAUUGGGCGUAAAGGGCGCGUAGGCGGCUUGGCAAGUGGAAGGUGAAAUCCCUCGGCUUAACCGAGGAACUGCCCUCCAAACUGCUUCGCUUGAGACCGGGAGAGGUGAGUGGAAUUCCCAGUGUAGCGGUGAAAUGCGUAGAUAUUGGGAGGAACACCAGUGGCGAAGGCGGCUCACUGGACCGGUACUGACGCUGAUGCGCGAAAGCGUGGGGAGCAAACGGGG